rnacentral:rRNA from 1 species
GACGAACGCUGGCGGCGUGCUUAACACAUGCAAGUCGAACGGAAAGGCCCUGCUUUUGUGGGGUGCUCGAGUGGCGAACGGGUGAGUAACACGUGAGUAACCUGCCCUUGACUUUGGGAUAACUUCAGGAAACUGGGGCUAAUACCGGAUAGGAGCUCCUGCUGCAUGGUGGGGGUUGGAAAGUUUCGGCGGUUGGGGAUGGACUCGCGGCUUAUCAGCUUGUUGGUGGGGUAGUGGCUUACCAAGGCCUUGACGGGUAGCCGGCCUGAGAGGGUGACCGGCCACAUUGGGACUGAGAUACGGCCCAGGCUCCUACGGGAGGCAGCAGUGGGGAAUAUUGCACAAUGGGCGGAAGCCUGAUGCAGCAACGCCGCGUGCGGGAUGACGGCCUUCGGGUUGUAAACCGCUUUCGCCUGUGACGAAGCGUGAGUGACGGUAAUGGGUAAAGAAGCACCGGCUAACUACGUG